rnacentral:rRNA from 1 species
CCAGACUCCUACGGGAGGCAGCAGUGGGGAAUAUUGGGCAAUGGGCGCAAGCCUGACCCAGCAAUGCCGCGUGAAGGAAGAAGGCCCUCGGGUUGUAAACUUCUUUUAUCAGGGACGAAGGAUGUGACGGUACCUGAUGAAUAAGCUCCGGCUAACUACGUGCCAGCAGCCGCGGUAAUACGUAGGGAGCAAGCGUUAUCCGGAUUUACUGGGUGUAAAGGGCGUGUAGGCGGGAGCGCAAGUUAGAUGUGAAAACGCAGGGCUCAACCCUGAGCCUGCAUUUGAAACUGUGUUUCUUGAGUGCUGGAGAGGCAAUCGGAAUUCCGUGUGUAGCGGUGAAAUGCGUAGAUAUACGGAGGAACACCAGUGGCGAAGGCGGAUUGCUGGACAGUAACUGACGCUGAGGCGCGAAAGCGUGGGGAGCAAACAGGAUUAGAUACCCGCGUAAA